UCGUGCUUCGUCGCCUCGCCAUGUGAUUCCAAUGUCUGGAUUCAAAAUAUUAAACAAUCCUUGCUUUAAAGUUUGAUCCAGUUUGCACAAUUGGAUGAAAAAUAACUUCUGGAUCAAGAAGUGUUUCAUCGGAAUUUAUUUAGAGGGCAAUAUUUUGGAUAAGUUACUGAACUAAAGGAUCCAAAAGGAAUAAAGAUUUGGAAAAAGUGAUUCAACCAAGUUUUGAAAAAUUUGACCAUAAUUUCUCUUCCGAA